ACAUUAGAGCCAUUGAUCGGUUUUGUGAGCCCCCUGAGGAAGGUAAGCCGCAUCUAUUUAUUUAUUCCUUAAAUUAAUGUUUUUGUGUUCUUUGGAUCCUCUUGCCAUUAUGUCACUUUUUAUUUUAUCUUGACAUCUAUCAAUGUUGACAGCUAUUAGCCCAAUCCAGUCAUCUCAAGUUUCUAAAAUGAUUCUGAUUAGUGAGGUGCACAUAUGUUGAGACAAUUGAAUUUUGUCAUUGAUUGCUCAGUCUGGCAAACUGAUUUUUAUUGUUGUUGCGGGAAUGCUUCCCCUCGAUGAUUUAUGAGAUACUUUGGUCAUUAUUUCUGGAAUGUGGGUGUGUGGAUUCAAUUAAUAGUAGUUUUCGUUCACUUCUAUCUUUUGUAGCCUUUUGUUGGCUAUCUUUUUGCGCUGAGGAGGUUUAUCAACAUACCAUGCAAGCUUUAUUCUUGCAUAUUUUUAUUAGUAUGCUAUGUGCCUAUGUUAAGUACUUUUGUGCUUGAUAUUAUGUUAUUAUAAUUUAGUCCCUGUAGUUUGACAUGAUUAAUGAGUUCGUUCCUGUGCUUUGAUUUGAAUCCAUUAAUGAAUUAGUUCCUCCGUCGACAUGAUUAAUGAGUUCGUUCCUGUGCUUUGAUUUGAAUCCAUUAAUGAAUUAGUUCCUCCGUCCAAGAAGAUACACUUUUUCAGUUAUAUACACAUGAAAAGACCUUAUUGCCCUUAGUUAAGUGACUAUUUAGUAAUUGGGGUUUGACAAAAUUAAUAUAUAAUUUUUUUAAAAAGAAAUUUUCAACGAAAAUAUUUUCAAAAAAUGUUUUUUAACAAAAUUAAUUUCAAAGAAAAUUAUUUCUCAAAAAAUUUAUUUUGAAGAAUAAAAUUUUCCAAGAAAUUUCUAAAAGAACAAAUUUUAAUAUGUAUAAAUUUCGCCUUUGAGCAUGCAUGUAUAAAAGAGUUCUAAAAGUGAACAGAGGACUAAAGUGUUAAUGGAAUUAAAUUUCAAGGACUGACUAAAUCGGUUUGAAAAAUACAGGGACUGAGUCAUUGAUUUUGUCAAACCUCAUGGACUAAAUAAUAAUUUACCUUAGGUUAUAUGAAGAAAGGCAGUUAAAAGUGUUCUAUAAGGCGUUCCUUGUGCGGUGUCUAGGAAGUUCUGGUGUAAAUAGCUGGAUAUUAUUGAAGACACCAGUUACGUAGUAGCAUAUAUAUCUGAAGGGAAAAAGUAAAUGAAAAAUUUUCGGAAUUUCAUAUUUUUUCCUCAUUCAUUGUGGUAAAGUUAACAUUUUCAUUUGCCAACAACAUUUCUUCUUUUCUGCCUCGUUUAUCCAUCCUUGUUAAGAGAGUUUGGUUUAGUUGUAUCAUUUUUUUCCUGGAGUCACUGCUAUAACAAGUGAGAAUGUUAUAGGCAUGACAUGGUCACUGCUAUAAUGACAUGAAAUGUUAUGGGAAUGACAUGGUUCAUUGUUUUCGCAGAUACUGAGUGAGUUGACUUCUACUUUAUGACUUUUUAUCUUCAAGAUCCUCGUUUGGUAAAGUAAAUGAAAAAUUUUCAGG
rnacentral:misc_RNA from 1 species